AUUUUACCUCUUCUCCUCUUCAGGCCUGUUUUUCCAGCUUCUAGUUUGAGAUUCGUUCCUCCCACAUUUUGACAUCUGCUGUCAAUCGUGUAAAGGAAACACCAAACUAUUUCUUGGGACCAAAUGUCGUAGGCUUCUUUGGUUCAGAGAAAUUGUAAAGAGCAAGACGAAUUCAGUGUAGCCUCCCAAAGGACUGCUCAAAGAUCUCCAGGUAAAGAAAAAUCUGUUCUGGAAACAGGGGGAAAAAGGAAAAUGGAAUAAAAUAAUAAUCUGCUGCAUCAGUUAAGAAUUUUAGGAAAGAGAUAAAGAUAGCAGG
rnacentral:lncRNA from 1 species